AAGAUUCAUGGCAUUUACACUUUGAAACUAUAGUACCCUUUACUCACUUAAACUCUGUCUAUUCACAGGAAUGGGAGUUCCCAGAAUGGCUUCAACCUGUCCACUGUAAUAUUCCCAAUAUACAGAUUAGAGAAAUAUGCUGUAUUAGACCUCAGAGACCACCCCCACCUAAAACCCAUCCUGCAACUUUGUCAACUCUGCUCUACUUCAGCCAGAAACUGGAAGCAGCCUAUAUGCCUCUCAACUGAAGAAUGGAUACAGAAAAUGUGGUACAUUUACACAAUGGAGUACUACUCAGCAGAAAAAAAAAAAC
rnacentral:lncRNA from 1 species